GGGAAGGUAGCUCACUGGUAGAGUGCAUGCCUUGCAAGCAUGAGGCCCUGGGUUCAAUUCCUCAGCACCA
rnacentral:tRNA from 1 species